rnacentral:tRNA from 1 species
UGAGAGUUAGUUUAAACAGAACCUCUGAUUUCGGCUCAGAAAGUCUUGGUUUAACCCCAAGAUUCUCGA